rnacentral:tRNA from 1 species
GGGCGCGUAGCUCAGCUGGGAGAGCACCUCGCUUACACCGAGGGGGUCACAGGUUCAAGUCCUGUCGCGCCCACCA